rnacentral:rRNA from 1 species
AUUGAACGCUGGCGGCAGGCCUAACACAUGCAAGUCGAGCGGAUGAAGGGAGCUUGCUCCUGGAUUCAGCGGCGGACGGGUGGGUAACACGUGGAUAACCUACCUAUAAGACUGGGAUAACUUCGGGAAACCGGAGCUAAUACCGGAUAAUAUUUUGAACCGCAUGGUUCAAAAGUGAAAGACGGUCUUGCUGUCACUUAUAGAUGGAUCCGCGCUGCAUUAGCUAGUUGGUAAGGUAACGGCUUACCAAGGCAACGAUGCAUAGCCGACCUGAGAGGGUGAUCGGCCACACUGGAACUGAGACACGGUCCAGACUCCUACGGGAGGCAGCAGUAGGGAAUCUUCCGCAAUGGGCGAAAGCCUGACGGAGCAACGCCGCGUGAGUGAUGAAGGUCUUCGGAUCGUAAAACUCUGUUAUUAGGGAAGAACAUAUGUGUAAGUAACUGUGCACAUCUUGACGGUACCUAAUCAGAAAGCCACGGCUAACUACGUG